rnacentral:snoRNA from 1 species
CUGUAGCCAAUUAAAUCAACAGUUCUUACUUGGGCCUGGUGAGUAUAGGUUGCAAACAGCAACCUUCCUGAAACUCUCUGAAGCGUGUUCAUAUAGGCUGCCCUACGGGACCUUGGAGACACUC